AGUGAACGCUGGCGGUAGGCCUAACACAUGCAAGUCGAACGGCAGCACAGUAAGAGCUUGCUCUUACGGGUGGCGAGUGGCGGACGGGUGAGGAAUACAUCGGACUCUACUUUUUCGUGGGGGUUAACGUAGGGAAACUUACGCUAAUACCGCAUACGACCUACGGGUGAGAGCAUGGGAUCUUCUGACCUUGCGCGAUUGAAUGCGCCGAUGUCGGGUUAGUUGGUUGGCGGGGUAAAGGCCCACCCAGGCGGCGAUCCGUAGCUGGUCUGAGAGGAUGGUCAGCCACACUGGAAGUGAGACACGGUCCAGACGCCUACGGGAGGCAGCAGGGGGGAAUAGGGGGCAAGGGGCGGAAGCCUUAUCCAGCCAUACCGAGUGGGGGAAGAAGGCCUUCGGGUUGGAAAGCCCGUUUUUUGGGAAAGAAAAGCAGCAGGUUAAUACCCAGCUGUUCUGACGGUAACCAAAGAAUAAGCACCGGCUAACUUCGUG
rnacentral:rRNA from 1 species